rnacentral:miRNA from 1 species
GGGAUUCCUUCCGACGAGCUGGUGUACAUGCCAGCUCGUCGGAAGGGAUCCCUUCUGACGAGCUGGUUCUUAUACCAGCUUGUCGGAAGGGGUUCCUUCCGGCAAGCUGGUUCUUAUACCAGCUUGUCCGAAGGGGUUCC